rnacentral:rRNA from 1 species
CACCAAGAAAUUAAGUCAUAUUUAAAUGGUAAAAAGACAGUUAGACAUUAAGUAUUUUAAAGCUUUUUGACUUUUUAUAGAGAAGUAAAAUUUAUAUAUAAAUGUAUAAUUUAACAAUAGCUGUAAAGUUGAAUCUGUGACAGCCCGGAGGGAAACUGGGAUUAGAUACCCCAUUAUUCCUGGUUAUAAAUAAAUUAAAAUUUACCAGAGUACUAUGAAUACUAUAAAAUUUAAAACUCAAAGGACUUGGCGGUGUUUUAGACCAUUUAGGGGAACCUGUCUUGUAAUCGAUAAUCCACGUUACACCUGACCUUUCUUUGCUUUCAGUUUGUAUAUCGUUGUCGUCAGGUAACUUUUUAGAAAUUAGAAGUUAGCUAAAAAUAGUAAAUUUAAACGUCAAAUCAAGGUGCAGCUUAUGGAAAGGUAAAGAUGGGUUACAAUUAUUUUAGUUAUAAUUAACGGAAAAUCAUGCGAACCAAUGAUAGAUGAAGGAGGACUUAAAAGUAAAUUAAAUUAUAUAAGUAAUUUGAAUAAGGCUCUGAAAUGUGC